rnacentral:miRNA from 1 species
UGGCACAGCCGAGAUGUCGG